AGCGAACGGACGAGAAGCUUGCUUCUCUGAUGUUAGCGGCGGACGGGUGAGUAACACGUGGAUAACCUACCUAUAAGACUGGGAUAACUUCGGGAAACCGGAGCUAAUACCGGAUAAUAUUUUGAACCGCAUGGUUCAAAAGUGAAAGACGGUCUUGCUGUCACUUAUAGAUGGAUCCGCGCUGCAUUAGCUAGUUGGUAAGGUAACGGCUUACCAAGGCAACGAUGCAUAGCCGACCUGAGAGGGUGAUCGGCCACACUGGAACUGAGACACGGUCCAGACUCCUACGGGAGGCAGCAGUAGGGAAUCUUCCGCAAUGGGCGCAAGCCUGACGGAGCAACGCCGCGUGAGUGAUGAAGGUCUUCGGAUCGUAAAACUCUGUUAUUAGGGAAGAACAUAUGUGUAAGUAACUGUGCACAUCUUGACGGUACCUAAUCAGAAAGCCACGGCUAACUACGUGCCAGCAGCCGCGGUAAUACGUAGGUGGCAAGCGUUAUCCGGAAUUAUUGGGCGUAAAGCGCGCGUAGGCGGUUUUUUAAGUCUGAUGUGAAAGCCCACGGCUCAACCGUGGAGGGUCAUUGGAAACUGGAAAACUUGAGUGCAGAAGAGGAAAGUGGAAUUCCAUGUGUAGCGGUGAAAUGCGCAGAGAUAUGGAGGAACACCAGUGGCGAAGGCGACUUUCUGGUCUGUAACUGACGCUGAUGUGCGAAAGCGUGGGGAUCAAACAGGAUUAGAUACCACUGGUAGUCCACGCCGUAAACGAUGAGUGCUAAGUGUUAGGGGGUUUCCGCCCCUUAGUGCUGCAGCUAACGCAUUAAGCACUCCGCCUGGGGAGUACGACCGC
rnacentral:rRNA from 1 species